rnacentral:hammerhead_ribozyme from 1 species
AUCCAACCGACGAGUCCCGAACAGGACAAAACGCGCGUCAAAUUGGAU